AGGAGGAACAACCCCAGUGGUUGCUGCAGCUCUGGAAACCUGGAUUCAGCUCCCGCAGGAACUAUUCUGUCUGCAGGGGCCUGGAGGCUCCGGGGUGGG
rnacentral:pre_miRNA from 1 species